rnacentral:rRNA from 1 species
UACGAAGGGAGCUAGCGUUGUUCGGAAUUACUGGGCGUAAAGGGCGCGUAGGCGGCUUCGCUAGUUGGGCGUGAAAUGCCUGGCUUAACCCAGGAAUUGCGCCCAAUACUUCGAGGCUCGAGUGUGGGAGAGGAUAGUGGAAUUCCCAGUGUAGAGGUGAAAUUCGUAGAUAUUGGGAAGAACACCAGCGGCGAAGGCGGCUAUCUGGACCACAACUGACGCUGAGGCGCGAAAGCGUGGGGAGCAAACAGGAUUAGAUACCCGGUAGUACGUACGAGCAACC